GAUGAACGCUGGCGGCGUGCCUAAUACAUGCAAGUCGAGCGAACGGACGAGAAGCUUGCUUCUCUGAUGUUAGCGGCGGACGGGUGAGUAACACGUGGAUAACCUACCUAUAAGACUGGGAUAACUUCGGGAAACCGUAGCUAAUACCGGAUAAUAUUUUGAACCGCAUGGUUCAAAAGUGAAAGACGGUCUUGCUGUCACUUAUAGAUGGAUCCGCGCUGCAUUAGCUAGUUGGUAAGGUAACGGCUUACCAAGGCAACGAUGCAUAGCCGACCUGAGAGGGUGAUAGGCCACACUGGAACUGAGACACGGUCCAGACUCCUACGGGAGGCAGCAGUAGGGAAUCUUCCGCAAUGGGCGAAAGCCUGACGGAGCAACGCCGCGUGAGUGAUGAAGGUCUUCGGAUCGUAAAACUCUGUUAUUAGGGAAGAACAUAUGUGUAGGUAACUGUGCACAUCUUGACGGUACCUAAUCAGAAAGCCACGGCUAACUACGUG
rnacentral:rRNA from 1 species